rnacentral:rRNA from 1 species
UACGGGGGGGGCAAGCGUUGUUCGGAAUUACUGGGCGUAAAGGGCUCGUAGGCGGCCAACUAAGUCGGAUGUGAAAUCCCCAGGCUUAACCUGGGAACUGCAUCCGAUACUGGAUGGCUUGAAUCCGGGAGAGGGAUGCGGAAUUCCAGGUGUAGCGGUGAAAUGCGUAGAUAUCUGGAGGAACACCGGUGGCGAAGGCGACGUCCUGGACCGGCAUUGACGCUGAGGCGCGAAAGCCAGGGGAGCAAACGGG